rnacentral:lncRNA from 1 species
UCGCUAGCCUCCCCAUCUUCUCAAAUUUCCACAAUUUUUGGUUAUUUAAUGAGGCGAUGAGGCCUUAAAGUUCCCCUUCCAACAUCAAUGGAGAUUUAAAAAGGGGAAAUUUUAUUUAAGAUAUCUUUCCCAUGUUUCAGCAGCAAAGCCCAACAACCCCAUUGUUUCUUCAAAACAGGAAUAAUAUCUACUAUAUAUAGAUAGUAUUACAAUCAAUUAAUCUUUAUUUUUCC